GCAAACUUGGUCAUUUAGAGGAAGUAAAAGUCGUAACAAGGUUUCCGUAGGUGAACCUGCGGAAGGAUCAUUAUCGAAUCGCUCUCCUUGCGCUGUGCGUCUCGCUCGCACGCGCGGGGGCUUUUCCACACACCUGUGCACUUUCCGGCGCCUUGCGGCGUCGAGCAUUUUUUCAUUUUCACGCAUGUAAUAUGAAUGUACAGUCUUUGCUUUAAUGCAUGACAACUUUCGACAACGGAUCUCUUGGCUCUCGCAUCGAUGAAGAACGCAGC
rnacentral:misc_RNA from 1 species